UACGGAGGAGGCAAGCGUUAUCCGGAAUUAUUGGGCGUAAAGCGUCCGUAGGUGGUUUAGUAAGUCUGCUGUUAAAGCGCGGGGCUUAACUCCGUAUCGGCAGUGGAAACUACUAUACUAGAGUGUGGUAGGGGUAGAGGGAAUUCCCAGUGUAGCGGUGAAAUGCGUAGAUAUUGGGAAGAACACCGGUGGCGAAGGCGCUCUACUGGGCCAUAACUGACACUGAUGGACGAAAGCUAGGGGAGCGAAAGGG
rnacentral:rRNA from 1 species